rnacentral:rRNA from 1 species
UACGUAGGGUCCGAGCGUUGUCCGGAAUUAUUGGGCGUAAAGAGCUUGUAGGCGGUCUGUCGCGUCUGCUGUGAAAAUCCGGGGCUCAACCCCGGGCCUGCAGCCGAUACGGGCAGACUAGAGUUCGGCAGGGGAGACUGGAAUUCCUGGUGUAGCGGUGAAAUGCGCAGAUAUCAGGAGGAACACCGGUGGCGAAGGCGGGUCUCUGGGCCGAUACUGACGCUGAGGAGCGAAAGCGUGGGGAGCGAACAGG